rnacentral:rRNA from 1 species
GUCGUCCUACGGGAGGCAGCAGUGGGGAAUAUUGCAUAAUGGGGGGAACCCUGAUGCAGCAAUGCCGCGUGGGUGAAGAAGCAUUCCGGUGCGUAAAGCCCUGUCAGCAGGGAAGAAAAUGACAGUACCUGACCAAGAAGCCCCGGCUAACUACGUGCCAGCAGCCGCGGUAAUACGUAGGGGGCAAGCGUUAUCCGGAUUUACUGGGUGUAAAGGGAGCGCAGGCGGCGUGGCAAGUCAGAUGUGAAAACCCGGGGCCCAACCCCGGGAGUGCAUUUGAAACUGCCAUGCUGGAGUGCCGGAGG